CAGUUCUCCAUAUCCAAAGACAAAUUUAACGUUUUUUUAGUUCACUACAGAAUAAAUUAACAACAAAGUAAUCAUAUCAGUAUUAUGCAGUGACUAUAUGAAAGUAGAUUUUCGUCACUGAUGUUGAUUGUUGCAGUUAAUAAACUUUUUAACAUAAUUCUUGAUCAUUAUUAUUUUUUUGCCUUGAAAACAGCAGCUCACAACAAGAUUUAAGGUCAACUUACUUAGAAGAAAACUUUGGUUUAAAGGUAAAAGCUCACAGCAAGUUGAGUGGCUGAGUGAAAAACCAGCGCUACCCCUCAGCCCCUAGUAGAUGCACCUGUGGCAUAAAUUUGAAAAUCUUAAAUAAGUCUUAAAUGAAAGGAGCCAGUUGAGGUGGUUCGGGCAUCUGACAAGGAUGCCUCCUGGGCGCCUCCUGGGUGAGGUGUUCCGGGCAUGUCCCACCGGGAGGAGGCCCCGGGGCAGACCCAGGACACGCUGGAGAGAUUAUAUCUCUCGGCUGGCCUGGGAACGCAUGGUGUUCCCCGGAUAAGCUGGAGGAGGUGGCUGGGGAGAGGGAGGUCUGGGCUUCUCUGCUUAGGCUGCUGCCCCCGCGACCCGGCCUCGGAUAAAGCGGAUGAAGAUGGAUGGAUGGAUGGAAGUCUUAAAUGAGUUGCUGUGUUCAACAGGCAAACCAAUACGAACUGUCUAAACAAGAAAGGCCACUUUGUUUGAGCUAACUAAUCGUUUGUAGAUUAUAAAAAAUUAUUUGGUUUUGGUUUGAUUAAACUUAAAAUGUCUGUUUAUUUCCAAAAACGUCUAACUUGAAAAAUUCUUGCCCAUAAAGAAACCAAUCCUUAUUUCUUCAUAUUUUGUCUGUAAUAUAGAAAAUGAGCACAGUAAUGUGUAAACAUGAAUACGGUGUAACUAGGCGGUACCAGAGUUACUAUGGGAGGGGCUCAGAGUACAGCAGGAGUCUCCAACACAUCACUUGCGAAUGGGGCCUUUUUCAGUAGCUUGCCAAAGGGGUCAAUAACAAAAGUGGUCAAGAAAAUAACAAAUAUAAUUUGUAGGUUGGCGAAACUGGCCAAGCUUUCCAUCCAAUCAAAAUUAAAGAUACCCCUACCCCUCUUGAAAUGAAACAAUUAUUUGUCAACUAACUGUCAAUCAAAAGUUUGUGCCGGGCUGCUGUCUGCAAUUGAAGCGGUUAGACGCCAUAUGGAGGUAGCAGGCAGACGAGGUGCCAGGCUAUUAGCAACAAUGAUAGCAGCAGAGUUUGGUUAUGCUAGUAAGAGGCAAAAAAUUUAUUUUCUUGAGGAGUGGGAAACAACUUUUUUUUCCCACAAAUGUGUGUGUGUGUAUGUGUGUGUGAUCUGUGGCGCGAGCCUUGAUGUCUCUAAAAAAAUGCAACGUGGAGCAGCAUUUCACCAAAGUUCACAGCAACUUUUCCCAGGACUUUGCAGUGGGAAGCAACCUCUGCAAAGAAAAGGUAAAAGAACUGAAAACUAUCCUCCAAAAACAACAAUCUAAACAGACAAAGAAUGCUAGCGCAUCAACCGAGGCAUCAUUUAAAGUGGUGCACAUCCUCACCAAGCACAAAAAACCCUUCAUUAAUGUCGGGAUCAUUAAAGAGGCAAUGACCACCAUGGCAGAAUCAUUGAGAAAAUAAGACUGAGAUUCUUUCUGCUAUCGCUGAUGUCCAGCUUGGCUUGAACACUGUCAGCAGAUGCAGAGAGAAAGCUAGAUUUGGACCUUAACAGGUGCUCCUGGUAUUUACUUCAGUGUGAUGAGUCUGUGGACUACAGUGAUACGGCACAGCUAGCUGUGCACACAUGGUGAUGACUUUUCCACAAAGGAGGAAUUUUUGACAUUGCUGCCACUGGAAACCAAGGAAGUUGACAUUUACAAUGCAAUGAAGCGGUACUUGUUGGAAAAAAGAUUUCCAUUGAAAAACUGGUUUCUGUAACAACUGAUGGAGCAGCAGCCAUGACAGGACAUCACUCGAGAUUUAUUGCACAUGGCAAAGCGGACCCAGACUUUCCUAAAUGUUUGAACUAUCACUGCAUCAUCCAUCAGCAGACUAUUUGUGCAAAAGUCACACGGAGGUCCAGUGCUGAGCAAACGUAAGAUGAGAGGAGAGGAUACCAUACUACCAAGUGAUGCUGAGUGGCUGAUCUGGCUUUCCUGAUGGAUGUGACUGAAAAAAUUAAAAAGCUGAACCAGCAGUUGCAGGAUAGAGACAAAAAAGUGUGUGAAAUGAUCAGUGCUGUGAAGGCAUUCACAGCAGAUGCAGCAGCCACUAUUUUGUGGUCUGUGCUUUGAGGAACUAAUGUCUUGUUUAUACUCCUCCUGUCUUGCCUGCGUUGUUUUGCCACAGUUACUUCUUGUCCGUGUGUCUUGCUACUUUACCUGCAUCAUUUGUUUAUUUGUACUAGCUUGUUUAGUGAUUUGCUCCACUCGCCACAGAGAGCGCUAAAUGGGAAUUCCUUUUUGUUGUGUUUGAGCUAGGAUUACCUGUUAUAUCAACAGUCACUGGCACAGGCGACAGUUCACCUGUGGAGUGUGUAUAUGACUCUUUGGCUUGUGUAUUUUAUUGUAGCGUGUGUGUGUGUGUAAGAAAUUUUAACACUGUAUGCCUGGAGUGGAUUUUAGUAGUUUUUCUUGUAUGAGUCUGAUGUCAAGUGUCCUAUUAUAUUUUUGUGAUUUUUAACAUUCUUGCUUUUUAUUUUCAUGACUGAAGAUAAGCCAGUAGCUGUGGGACCUUUUUGGUGGUGGGUACUUUCCCACAGUCUCUAUGUUGUGCAGCAUCUUGGGUGUGAAACUGGUUUUUAUUAUUUUAAAAUCUGUAUUAAAGGACUAAAGGUAUUUAAAUAUUUUAAUGGAACCAAUCUGCUUCAGUGGUGCAUUUUUGAAGCUGUGCAGACAUUUGGUUAUUUUGUUUAAAUGCUUCAUCUUUAUAUUUCCUAGGGGUGAAAUUCUCCUAGGUGGCGUUGUUGCGAACUUAAUCAUAACCCCCCUGACCACCACACCACACUUCUGUGUUUCCCAGAUUAAGUCAGUCCAGUCCAGUUCUCUUGGCUUUCAGAUCUGGGUUCCAGGGUCUGCCAUUCUGGACUAUGAUCAAUGAGCCACAGGUGUCCUCCUUACAAACCCAGUGUGUUGCCCGGAGGCUUCCAUUAGGGGGUGCACUAUCACAGCUUCCCAGUCUUCCCAUUGCCCACUGCCAGUUUCUGUCUCAUCUUUUCAUUCUCCAUCUCUUUGUGGAUGUGUUUGUGGAUGAGGCACUGUAUUUACCUUUUCCAGGGGUAGUCAUCCUUGGUCCCCAUCAGUAGUGGGAAGUAAAAAGUACUUUACUACUGUACUUGAGUAGAAUUUUCAGGUAUCUGUACUUUUCCAAAAGUUGAAUCUGUUCAUUUGGACGUAGCGUUUUGUGGGAGAAACGUUUCUCCCACAAAACGCUACGUCCAGAUGAACAGAUUCAACUUUUGGAGAUUUACUUUCCUGGAUGAUUGAGAAUGCAUCAAGACGUAUCUGUACUUUGUUUUACUAUUUAUUUUUCUGACAACUUUUACAUUACUCCACUACCUACAGUUUUACACAAAUGGCUGUACUUUCUAUGCCUUAAAUUUAAAAAAGGCUUGAUACUUGUUAAUGUUUAAUGAAUUUAAUGCAUUUGAGGAAAGUUACAGUACUUCAUGAUCUAGCUAACGCUACAGAACAGGCACAAGCAUAAAGGGAGUAACUAUUUUGGAGUGGCAGGUAAUUUCAAAUGUAAUGUUUCUAUCAGUCCAACAAAGAUCAGUAAAAAACACACUGUGUGUGGUUAUGUGCAGUUUGUUGCACAAUGUGACUGCUAGCUAAAUGUAAAGCUGAUGCAUUUCCCAGGGAGAGAAAAGUGACAGAUAACUUCACAUGUGAGGCAGGAAAGGAAGACAGGUUAUAUUUAAAGGUUAAUGCUGAUCAAUGACAUUUUAUAGACUGUAAAUUUAAAUUUAAAUACAUAAUGUCCUCGUUUUGUAAAUCGGGUAUUUACAUAUCUGUAUGUAAAAUUGUGCUUAUUUCAUAUUAUAAAACAUCCUGUGGAACAAACUGACUCAUACCAACAUUGUGUUAUUCAAAAUUUGUAUGAAAAUACUUGGCAUUUUAGAUCGUGAUAAACAGGUUUGUGAUAUUGUGGCAAAUUUAAAGUAAAACAGUGUGCUAGACUGGUGGCUGUUAGUUACCAUACAAUUCAUUGUGGUAACUAACUGCAAGUUCAAAUAAAAAAUAUCAAUAAAUCAAGUGCGUUUGGAAAAAACAAUGAAAAAAGGCAUAUAAAUUUGCAUUAUUUGCUUGUAAGGAGUAAAUAUUUAAACAAGACAUUCUUCAGGCGAAAUGAAGACACUCAAGACAGUUUAGAUGGUAACAACGUGCGCACGCUGGGUGAGCGCUGCUGUCUCAGGCUCACAACCAGCGUAUGCGGCAGUUCUUUAUUUAUAGCGUUUCAGAGUAUGUGUGUGUGUGUGAAGUUUAUGAUCUCAGAGUGUGUGUGUGUGAUUCUGAAGAAUGGGCCCCUCUUUGUAUUUGGGAGUGUAGAUAAGAACAUCCUGCUCUCCCCUUCCUGGGAGUGAAACGGCUCGUAGAGAGCCAGGUACAGAGGAGAUGUACUGGGUGAAUCAUAUCUGAGAACACUAUGCUUUUGUCUUUACUUCAGCUUCACUUCUAGUGAAACAGUAAAAUCAUAAAAUACAAUUAAAUGGAAAGAAUAAAUGGGUAAACAACUAUUAACACUAAAAUUAAAGAUAAACCAUCAAUAACGUACAAAUGCAAGUGGGAAUAAUACUUGAAACAUUUGAAAAUCUCUUAACAUAUCCCUCCUGUUGUUAAUUUGUUUUACCCAUUUUAACUUUUAUCAGCGUACAGUCUCUUGACAGUGCAUUUUAACUGUUGCUUCAUUAUUAACAGGAGUGUCUUUUUUUUUUAGUUACAGGUUGUUUCUUCAUCUUAAAUCGUCGGUGUUUGAGUCAGUGUCGGCGUGCUCCAGCAGUGUCAUAAUUUCUUUUUGGCCGACAGGGUCCGGUGUAAUAGCUGUGGCUAUCAGUCUGUUGAUCAUGGAUCUUAUGCAGGGAAUACAACAACAGCCACAUAGGGUCAAUAUGGCUGCAAAAACAGCUAUUGACACUAGGAUUGAUGACACUAGGCUGCGGUACUUUCCAAACAUGUCCAUCCAGCUGUCCCACAUGGAAGUGUCCACUCCAGAAUGUUCUUUCAUUCUCUCAUUCAGGGUCUUCAGUCUUUCCAGGGCUCUGGUCAGACUGCCGUCAGCUGCAGUGUUGUUAGGUAUGAAGGUGCAGCAUUGUUCUCCACUUCUUUGUUUCUCGUUGCGCUGCGCGUUCUUCUGGGCAUAGGCUGCAGCUUAAAAAUGGUUCCCCUUUCAGGACACGUCACAUUUGGAGCCUGCCGGUAAAUCCUUGGGCAGUGUGGGUCACAUGGGUUGCUGGUGCAGGCCGUGUUCAUGCCUACCAGGGCCAGUGAUAAGAAUACUGUGAACACGAGCAUGGAACACAUCGUUGUGACAGUGGUCAGUUGGCAUCCUCUUGUCCAGCAUCGACGUCGUCUGUGCGGUUUCUUAUUUAACUUUUCCAUCUCCAUCCGGUCUCCCUCUGUGAGCGUUUCUCCUCUUCUCGACCGUGGACACACCCUUGGCCUCCAAUGAGUAGACACCCAGCAAGAGGAGCGAGUGUCUCAGUGUUGCCACUGAUAGCCCUUCUCCCCACCGAGUGAACACCAGAGGUUAGAGCGGUCUGCAGUCUAGACUUUAUUGCUCACUUUUCUGCUCGGGAGUUUGUGGUUCUUGGAUUGGUUCAACCCUUUUUCAACCUGCAAGAAACUGGAAGAGAAUCACUCGGCAGUUGAUUGUUCAAAACUAUUUCUCUGUUUUCCAGCAACUUUGUCAUCCACUCUGCUAGAAUUGUUUCUCUUAUUGACUUGUUUGAAAUUUAAUGUAUAGAAGUGUCUUUAACUAGUGUUUUUAACUAAUUAGACUCCCUCCUGUUGACGCAUGAACAACUUCAUGUGUCACAAGAGCUACUGUUUUUGUAUAAAGACUUGGUUUGUAACGGUUUCCCAUCACAUAUGAUCAGAUCAUCCUGUAGAAUUGCUCCGCACCUCAACCAUUUCUUUCGCUCUAGUAAUGGCACAAAUGUGUGGUUCAUUUCUCAAGAUAUCCAGUGGAAUUUGCAUAGAGGUGUUGUCACCAUAAGUGCGUCUACUGUUUGUACUGCUACUGAUUUUGCUGCUUGGUCUGCAAAAUUGUUGCCCUCUGUUAUGCCAUAUUUUCAAAAUGGCGUACUGCAGAUCAAAUUCAUUAUUGAUAAGUCAAACCAACGAAAAAACAAAACUAGAAGUCAAAAAAAAAAUAUUCUUUCGUUAACAGAAAUAAAAAUAAAAACAAAAGUAAAACUAUCUAAAACUGCAAUGAGUGGUCACAAAAUUAACUGAUUUUGUAGCAAAAAUGUGUUUAGUUUUAAAAUCUUAAGUCAAAACUAAAGAAAAAUAAAACUAAUGAAAAUUGCAAAACUAUUAAAACAGUUAGAGUAAACAUAUUGGCUGUCUCUGUGUCUCUCUGUCUGUCUGCAUCCUUGACACAGUCAGCUCCUUUGUAUGGGCAUGUAGUUCCUGUUACAUGUUUUCCUGUUACAGACACAUUUCCCUUUUCUCCAGAGUAAUCGAACUCUUUGUUGAAUUUAACUGUUUUCAUCUAGUCUGCACUUCCACCUAAAUGUAAGUAGAAAGGUUAUAUCCAAGUUACUGAAUGCUAUUUUUAUAGAUGCAGUAAGGAGAACAGAGCACAUUCCACGGGAGCUUCACUCCCAUCUCUGGUGGAGGCAGAAAAAUAGGGAGCCACGGUCAUAACUCAGGCUCAUUAAGAGUCAGAAAGAAUGUGAAUGCUUAGUCUUGUGGCUAUCGCGCAUUGUAUAUAUAGCUUCUUUUCUUUGUUUAGUAGCUUUCUGCCUUCACCUAAGGGUGUGCCCUAAGUAUGUGACUCAGGUCUCCAUAAUCGGAGUUUAUUUAAAGAUAAAUAAGAUGAUCCAUUCAUUGCUCGCAGAUCAUGCACUAGGCGUAUGUUGCAGUAUUUAGCUUUCUUCAACACUUAAACAAAAUAUCACUUCUUAUCCAUUACCAUUCUCUCGUAUUAAAAAACAAACAAACAAACAAAAACAAACUAAGUUUAACUUUUCUACUUUGUCACUUAAAACAAAGCAUCGCUCUCAACCCAGCUCUCAGCUGGCUCUGAAAUUAUCAUCAUCAAGCAUGAAGUUGCAUGAAGAGAGCUGUUUCAGAAGUCACAGUAUUCCUCACUCAAGCAACAUCAAGAAACAAACAAAAAACAAAAACAAGUUGCUGAUGGCAUGAACGCUUUACACACGAGUUGGGACACAAAAAGAAAAAGAACUGCUGUCAGAAACAAAGCAGAAGUGUGAGGGAAAAAACUGAGAUCACAGACUGCUGCAUGUGUGAGCUUUUAAUAUCAUGCAGCUUCUGCUCUGAAAAACAAAAAAAAUUAAUACAAAAUAAAAAGUGUGUAUCUUGCGCAUUAGCUUGGUAGUAUAGGUUUUGCUCUUCAUCUUAACAAAAUCUCAUCUAGGAUGACAGGUUUACAAGCGGGUCAAGUGUCUCUAUGCACUUAAUUAGUUUACAUAUUUUCUUUAUUUUCUUCAUCUCAUAUGUCAUUAUACUGAAUUUGAGCAAACCUUAAGCUUGAUACAGAUUACUUUUAACAAUUAUCCACCUCACAUCACAACUGACUGAGGUGCCUCUUCAUAUUUAAUAUUAUUUCAUUAUUAAUGUUAUUAUGCAAUAGUAUAUUACAAUAUUUAUUUAUAUUUUAUUUGUGUCCACCAAGGGCUGAGGAUGAGCUGCAGUCUCACCCUUUCCCAAGCUGGAGAAAUUUUCCUUUUCACACACUUUCUUUGGCUGAACAAUGACACAACCUUAAUAUACCUUAUGCAUCUCUCUAUUUCAUUUAAUAUGUAUUUGUGUGAGUUAUCUGGUUUCAUGCAUUCUAUCCAUUCUAGGCACGGUCGUCCUGCCAACUAUAUUUCAUUGUUAAUACCAGUUUACAGGUUGUUAUCCUUCUAUUAUUAGUUAGAAUACCCUAAAGAGAAGCUCCAAUUUAAUUUAACCUUUUGGUUAUUACACUUUAUUUUUCCUAUAUUUUAUUUUGAUUUAUUUUAUUUGGAAACACCUUGUUUUGCUUUUAUUUAUUAAUACUGCCAACAUACACUCUGUGUGACCUUCGCUGAUAUUAGAGUCGGGGGAGGUUAUUAAGGCAGCCUUCUACCCUGGUCUAGACCCAGGGCGGCCUUAAUUUUAUGCGUUGAAGCGCAACCUUUGACCCCUUCUCACCAGUACAUCGGUCAACACAGGAAACAGUAAGAGUGGUGCAGAAACCUGUUGUUUCUAUUCAAAAGGUCACUCACUCUUCAACAACACAUAAACUUCACACGCGGUACUAUAAUCCUAUUUUAAUUGACACGUUCUUUAUUUACCAUUCACUCUUAGAGUGAGAUCCCUGACUUCCAGCCUUUUAAUUGCGGAACGAGUCUCCCAGGGGACUGCCAGUUCCGUCUUACAGGCGAGUCUUAAUACCCGACUUCCAGUCCCUAAGGGACGAGUCUUUUCCCGACUUCCAGUCCCUAAGGGACGAGUCUUUUCCCGACUUCCAGUCCCUAAGGGACGAGUCUCUUAAGAACCGUGUCAAUCUAAAAACCGAUUUUAGCCGCAAUGUGUUCUUGAGUGUUUAUAUUCACCUGGUUCGGACGAAAAUGCCGGUCAGAGAGAAUCCUCCUCGCUCCCUGGGAUCGUGGACCUCUUGCUAAAAACGCUGGCCAACGGCAAAUUCACGUAGUUGGUCUUUACUGUUUCACUAGAAACAGGCUGUCGCGACAGACUUUGCAGCAUGGGUUCACGAAUCCAGGAAACGACGAGGUCACUCCGUUGGCUCGAAGGACCAAAUAAAUGUAAGGAGUAAAUAUUUAAACAAGACAUUCUUCAGGCGAAAUGAAGACACUCAAGACAGUUUAGAUGGUAACAACGUGCGCACGCUGGGUGAGCGCUGCUGUCUCAGGCUCACAACCAGCGUAUGCGGCAGUUCUUUAUUUAUAGCGUUUCAGAGUAUGUGUGUGUGUGUGAAGUUUAUGAUCUCAGAGUGUGUGUGUGUGAUUCUGAAGAAUGGGCCCCUCUUUGUAUUUGGGAGUGUAGAUAAGAACAUCCUGCUCUCCCCUUCCUGGGAGUGAAACGGCUCGUAGAGAGCCAGGUACAGAGGAGAUGUACUGGGUGAAUCAUAUCUGAGAACACUAUGCUUUUGUCUUUACUUCAGCUUCACUUCUAGUGAAACAGUAAAAUCAUAAAAUACAAUUAAAUGGAAAGAAUAAAUGGGUAAACAACUAUUAACACUAAAAUUAAAGAUAAACCAUCAAUAACGUACAAAUGCAAGUGGGAAUAAUACUUGAAACAUUUGAAAAUCUCUUAACAU
ensembl:lncRNA